rnacentral:misc_RNA from 1 species
GAUGAAGAACGUAGCAAAAUGCGAUAAGUAAUGUGAAUUGCAGAAUUCAGUGAAUCAUCGAAUCUUUGAACGCACAUUGCGCCCGCCAGUAUUCUGGCGGGCAUGCCUGUUCGAGCGUCAUUUCAACCAUCAAGCCCCAGGCUUGUGUUGGGGACCUGCGGCUGCCGCAGGCCCUGAAAACCAGUGGCGGGCUCGCUAGUCACACCGAGCGUAGUAGCAUACACAUCGCUCAGGGCGUGCUGCGGGUUCCGGCCGUUAAACCCCUUUUUACCCAAGGUUGACCUCGGAUCAGGUAGGAAGACCCGCUGAACUUAAGCAUAUCAAUAGCGGAGGA